rnacentral:lncRNA from 1 species
CACAUUCAUUCUGUGUCAGAAACCUAUGAUGUGUCAACUAUUUAAUUUUAGAUUUAAAAAGUUUGAAGAAGAAAUCUUUAAUUGUAAAAUUUGUAAAAUCUUGACAUUUGUUUUGUGUAAAAAAAAACCCAUGUAAUGUCAAAAAUUUGAUCACAAUCCAAAUUCAGAGCUGUAUCACGCUAGAAUGUUUUGUCCAUACUUGCCCCAACUGUUCAGGGUUCGACCUCUGCGGUCGUAUAAAGCUGCGCCCUGCGGAGCACCUGGUAUCAUUGUGAAAAAAUUAUGACUGAAUAGUUUUCAACUACAAAAUAACUUUAAAAUUUUGAUAUCAUGUUCUGUAAUUGUAUAACUUAAUCUUGGCACUUUUGUCCAUUGUGGAACAAUCUUCAUAUUAAAUGCACUGAAGAAUUUUUGUAUACACAGUAUAAUAAAUAAAUAGAUGAAAUUAUAAAAUUCUGAUAUCUGAUACAUCUAUCUGUGUGCAGAUUUCCUGAAAUUACAAAAAAUAAUUGUGCAUUUUGUCCAUUUUUUUUUAAAAUUGCAAUAGUUUCUGAUUUUACAUUCAUGAUUUACCCGAGUUUGAUUAUUGCUUUUGUUCAUGUUCCAUCAUUUGUCACUUUUAUCAAUUUUUUUUAGUGGCUUCCCCUUAGAUCUAAUUUACAAGAUGAUAAUUAUAUAUAAGUAGUUUAUAUAAUUCAGCUUUCCAAGUCUUAAAUAUCAAUGAUGAAAAAUUCGGCUCCUUGUUUUCAUUCCUGAAUGCUUCAUACAUCAAGUGCAAUCAGUUCAUCUUUGUAUGAAUUAUUAAAAGAUGACAUAAUCCAAAAUAUGCAAGUUAAAAUGAAUUCUGUACACUAAUAUUAGGAAACUUUUGCAUGCGUUGUAUUUUCACUAUAUUUGCUGUAGCCAUUUUAAUGCAAGUUUUACCUGUUGUGAAUAUUUCAAUGUACAAGACCAUAAACCCAAACAACAAAAAUGGGUAAAAAUGGAGAAUUCCUUUUUAGGCGUAAUCCAUUAUCAAAAUUUGACGCAAAAUAAUCUGGUACCAUACAAUGUUGAUGACACUAUAUUGACAAUAUGUAAAUAAUGUUAGUUCAUAUGCCAGUACAUUUUAUCUGAGUGUUCCUUCAAUUGUUGAUAAUGUAUUAUUGAAUUAUUUUUUUACCAUGUUCAUAUUUUGUUUUAAAUGUUUGACAUUUUAACGUCUCAUUAUAAGAUUCUUUGUAUUUCUA